GACGGGGGCCCGCACAAGCGGAGGAGCAUGUGGUUUAAUUCGAUGAUACGCGAGGAACCUUACCUGGGCUCGAACGUAAGAUGACUGUAGGUGAAAGCUUACAUCUCUUCGGAGCAUUUUACGAGGUGCUGCAUGGUUGUCGUCAGCUCGUGCCGUGAGGUGUCGGGUUAAGUCCCAUAACGAGCGCAACCCCUACCUUUAGUUGCCAUCAGGUAAUGCUGGGGACUCUAAAGGAACUGCCUACGCAAGUAGUGAGGAAGGCGGGGAUGACGUCAAAUCAGCACGGCCCUUACGUCCAGGGCUACACACGUGCUACAAUGGCCGGUACAAAGGGCAGCUACCUGGUGACAGGAUGCUAAUCUCAAAAGCCGGUCUCAGUUCGGAUCGGAGUCUGCAACCCGACUCCGUGAAGUUGGAUUCGCUAGUAAUCGCGCAUCAGCCAUGGCGCGGUGAAUACGUUCCCGGGCCUU
rnacentral:rRNA from 1 species